CAGCAGCCGCGGUAAUACCAAGGGUGCGAGCGUUAAUCGGAUUUACUGGGCGUAAAGCGUGCGUAGGCGGCUUUUUAAGUCGGAUGUGAAAUCCCUGAGCUUAACUUAGGAAUUGCAUUCGAUACUGGGAAGCUAGAGUAUGGGAGAGGAUGGUAGAAUUCCAGGUGUAGCGGUGAAAUGCGUAGAGAUCGGAAGGAACAUCUGUGGCGAAGGCGACUAUCUGGGCCAACACUGACACUGAGGCACGAAAGCGUGGGGAGCAAACAGGAUUAGAUACCCCCGUAGUCCCUGUCUCUUAUAC
rnacentral:rRNA from 1 species